UGGGGAAUAUUGGACAAUGGGCGAAAGCCUGAUCCAGCCAUGUCGCGUGAGUGACGAAGGCCUUAGGGUUGUAAAACUCUUUCGUCGGGGACGAUAAUGACGGUACCCGAAGAAGAAGCUCCGGCUAACUUCGUGCCAGCAGCCGCGGUAAUACGAAGGGAGCUAGCGUUGUUCGGAAUCACUGGGCGUAAAGCGCACGUAGGCGGAUAGUUAAGUCAGGGGUGAAAUCCUGGGGCUCAACCCCAGAACUGCCUUUGAUACUGGCUGUCUCGAGGUCGAGAGAGGUUGGUGGAAUUCCUAGUGUAGAGGUGAAAUUCGUAGAUAUUAGGAAGAACACCAGUGGCGAAGGCGGCUCACUGGUCCGGUUCUGACGCUGAGGUGCGAAAGCGUGGGGAGCAAACAGGAUUAGAUACCCAAGUAGUCCCUGAGCGGGCUGGCAAGGCGCAU
rnacentral:rRNA from 1 species